rnacentral:rRNA from 1 species
CCUACGGGUGGCAGCAGUGAGGAAUAUUGGUCAAUGGACGCAAGUCUGAACCAGCCAUGCCGCGUGCAGGAAGACGGCUCUAUGAGUUGUAAACUGCUUUUGUACGAGGGUAAACGCAGAUACGCGUCUCUGUCUGAAAGUAUCGUACGAAUAAGCAUCGGCUAACUCCGUGCCAGCAGCCGCGGUAAUACGGAGGAUUCAAGCGUUAUCCGGAUUUAUUGGGUUUAAAGGGUGCGUAGGCGGUCGGAUAAGUUAGAGGUGAAAUCCCGGGGCUCAACUUCGGAAUUGCCUCUGAAACUGGUCGGCUUGAGAGUAGUUGCGGUAGGCGGAAUGUGUGGUGUAGCGGUGAAAUGCUUAGAGAUCGUACAGAACACCGAUUGCGAAGGCAGCUUACCGGGCUACUACUGACGUUGAGGCACGAAAGCGUGGGGAGCGAACAGGAUUAGAUACCCGAGUAGUC